CGCCCUUUUCCGGUUGAUCCUGCCGGACCCGACUGCUAUCGGAUUGAGAUUUAGCCAUGCGAGUUGAACGUCCCUUGAUUGCAGGGGGCGUAGCAUACGGCUCAGUAACACGUAGUCAACCUGCCCUGGAGACGCGGAUAACCCCGGGAAACUGGGACCAAUCCGUGAUAGGUCGCCCCAUCUGGAAGGAGGGGCGGCCCAAAGGGGAAUUGUGGGCUUCCACUUUUCUCGCUCUAGGAUGGGACUGCGGCCGAUCAGGCUGUUGGCGGGGUAAUGGCCCACCAAACCUGUAACCGGUACGGGCCUUGAGAGAGGUGGCCCGGAGAUGGACACUGAGACAAGGGUCCAGGUCCUACGGGGCGCAGCAGGCGCGAAACCUUCGCAAUGUGCGAAAGCAUGACGAGGUUAAUCCGAGUGGCUUCCGUUGAGGAAGUCUUUUGCCGACUGUAAAAAGGUCGGAGAAUAAGGGGAGGGCAAGUCUGGUGUCAGCCGCCGCGGUAAUACCAGCUCCUCGAGUGGUCGGGGCGAUUAUUGGGCCUAAAGCAUCCGUAGCCGGUUCCGUAGGUCUCCUGCAAAAUCCAGUCGCUCAACGAUUGGCCCGCAGGAGAUACCGCGGGACUAGGAGGCGGGAGAGGUGGACGGUACUCCACGUGUAGGGGUAAAAUCCUUUGAUCCGUGGAAGACCACCAGUGGCGAAGGCGGUCCACCAGAACGCGCUCGACGGUGAGGGAUGAAAGCUGGGGGAGCGAACCGGAUUAGAUACCCGGGUAGUCCCAGCCGUAAACGAUGCUAGCUAGAUGAUCCGAUCGUAAAUCAUGAUCGGAGUGUCGCAGGGAAGCCGUUAAGCUAGCCGCCUGGGGAGUACGGUCGCAAGACUGAAACUUAAAGGAAUUGGCGGGGGAGCACCACAAGGGGUGAAGCCUGCGGUUCAAUUGGAGUCAACGCCAGGAAACUUACCAGGAGAGACAGCAGAUUGAGGGUCAGACUGAAGAUCUUACCUGACGAGCUGAGAGGAGGUGCAUGGCCGUCGCCAGCUCGUGCCGUGAGGCGUCCUGUUAAGUCAGGCAACGAGCGAGACCCAAAGGGCGAA
rnacentral:rRNA from 2 species